rnacentral:misc_RNA from 1 species
UACGUAGGUGGCGAGCGUUGUCCGGAUUUAUUGGGCGUAAAGGGCGUGUAGGCGGUCUGGUAAGUCGGGGGUGAAAACCCGGAGCUCAACUCCGGGAGUGCCUUCGAGACUGCUGGACUUGAGUGCUCUAGAGGGCAGUGGAAUUCCGGGUGUAGCAGUGAAAUGCGUAGAUAUCCGGAGGAACACCAGUGGCGAAGGCGACUGCCUGGGGAGUAACUGACGCUGAGGCGCGAAAGCUGGGGGAGCAAACAGG